rnacentral:rRNA from 1 species
UGGGCUUGACAUGUCCGGAAUCCUGCAGAGAUGCGGGAGUGCCCUACGGGGAAUCGGAACAC